GACGAACCGUGCGAGCGUUGUUCGGAAUCACUGGGCUUAAAGGGCGCGUAGGCGGGCUGUCACGUCUGGGGUGAAAUCCCGCGGCUCAACCGUGGAACUGCCUUAGAUACUGACGGACUCGAGGGAGAUAGGGGCGAGCGGAACUGUGAGUGGAGCGGUGAAAUGCGUUGAUAUUCACAGGAACUCCGGUGGCGAAGGCGGCUCGCUGGAUCUUUUCUGACGCUGAGGCGCGAAAGCUAGGGGAGCAAACGGG
rnacentral:rRNA from 1 species